CAAACAUCAGGAAUACAGGUGACACAUUAAUGUAUGAGAAGAACAGUAUCCUAAGGACUUCCUACUUUCUACAAGAUUCUCUGCAUAGCUCUAGAAAGAGUAUUUAAAAGGGGGAUGUUUCAUUGAAUAUAAGAAACAGGAAAUUGACCCCAGUAACCCAAAACUUCAAUUUCAUAUUUUUAUAAUACGUUUGCCAGUGCAAAGCUACAUAUAACAUUUGCUCCAGAUCUAGAAUUUGUCUGAAAAAUUUUAAAUAACUUCUUGAUAAAAAGUCUAGAAAUGGUCAAUUUUCCCUCAAAGUUUAAAAGUUAAAGUACAUUUAGAAAAUAAUCACCAACAUAUCUAAAACUUUCUUUUUUAUUAUUUAUUUAUUUUUAUAGAGACAGGGUCGCACUGUGUUACCCAGGCUGGUCUUGAACUCCUUGCUUUAAGUGAUCCUCCCAUCUCAGGCUUCUGAGUAGCUGAGAUUGCAGGCACAAACUACUGCACUGAGCUUAAAACUUUCUUUUAGUCAUUAAAGACCAUAAGAAAAUAAAGAUCUUUAUAAAUAUGCAAAACAGUUUUGUAAACUUAAAACAUUAGUAAAAUAUUUGAUUACGGUUACUGUAAGACUCGAUUUGACCACAUAUUGCAGAUAGGAUUGUAUUCUGUAUAUUCA